GUAGGUGAACCUGCGGAAGGAUCAUUAUUGAAAUAAACCUGAUGGGUUGUUGCUGGUUCUCUAGGGAGCAUGUGCACGCCUUGUCAUCUUUAUAUCUCCACCUGUGCACUUUUUGUAGGCCUUUCAGGUCUAUGUUGCUUCAUUUACCCCAAUGUAUGUCAAUAGGAUGUUGUGCCUAUUUAAUAUAUACAACUUUCAGCAACGGAUCUCUUGGCUCUC
rnacentral:misc_RNA from 1 species